GGACUCUUAGCGCAGUUGGUAGCCCGUUCGCUUACAUCAAUGAAAAAAGAUUGGCGUUAUGCGCAAAGCGGCGGGUGCGAUUCCUGCAGAGUCCA